rnacentral:rRNA from 1 species
UACGUAGGGUGCGAGCGUUAAUCGGAAUUACUGGGCGUAAAGCGUGCGCAGGCGGUUCGUUGUGUCUGGUGUGAAAGCCCCGGGCUUAACCUGGGAACUGCAUUGGAAACUGGCGAGCUGGAGUGUGGCAGAGGGGGGUGGAAUUCCGCGUGUAGCAGUGAAAUGCGUAGAGAUGCGGAGGAACACCGAUGGCGAAGGCAGCCCCCUGGGCCAACACUGACGCUCAGGCACGAAAGCGUGGGGAGCAAACAGG